rnacentral:lncRNA from 1 species
AAAAAGGGGCCAGCACAACCGAAAAUCCUUUACUGAUCAAGGCAGUCUUAAAAUGCAAUCUUAUGUGUUACUCUGGCUCCUCUUUCAGUACCUGGGGUCCAUCCUGCUUCUUCCUGCUUCUGUGAGUCCACAUGUGUCAUUUCCUUAGCCUGGACACUCUUUGCCCUCCUGUCCAUCUGAUAAAUCUUUCUUCACUUUGCAAAUUUCAACCAAAACUUCAUGUCCUUUCCUGGACCACAAAUGAGGACAAGGGGACGGACACUAAGAAGGGGAUGUAUUGUCUGCGUGUGUUGCCUUCACACCUUUGAAUUCUAAAGGGAUGGCAGGGGCAGCUAACAGAGAGCAGAGAGGAGGCAUCCGGAAUCCCAUGUGGCACAUUUAUGUCAACUGCAUGUCAAUCAGAUGCAAGUGAAGACUAAGCAGUUCCAGCACGGGAACCUCUGAAAAUCAAGACCACAUCAUCCUGAUGUUUUGGCAUUUUGCCCAUUGCCUCAGCAUGUGCUUUUAAAGAGAGCUCUCUAUUGCCGUCUCAUGGUGAAUGAGUGAAUGGCUGGGAUUAGGAGACAAAACUGGCUACCACCACUAAGCAGAUUAACUGAAGAUGUGGUAUAUAUACACAAUGGAAAACUACUCAGCCAUAAAAAAGAACAAAAUAAUGCCAUUUGCAGCAACAUGGAUGGAACUAGAGACUCUCAUUCUGAGCGAAGUAAGUCAGAAAGAGAAAGACAAAUACCAUAUGAUAUCACUAUAUCUGGAAUCUAACAUAUGGCACAAAGGAAACUUUCCACAGAAGAGAAAAUCAUGGACUUGGAUAAUAGACCUGAGGUUGCCAAGGGGGAAGGGGAGGAAGUGGGAGGGACUGGGAGUUUGGGGUAAAUAGAUGCAGAAUGUUGACUUUGGGAUGGAUUAGCAGUGGGAUCUGGCAGUGUAGAACUGGGAACUCUGUCUAGUCAUUUAUGAUGGAACAUGUAAUGUGAGAAAGAAGAAUGUAUACAUGUAUGUGUAACUGGGUCACCAUGCUGUGCAGUAUAAAAAACAUAUAUAUAAAGAAAUAAAAAUUAAAAAAAGAGUAGAUCUUAAAAGUUCUCCUCAUAAGAAAAUAAAUUUUUGUAACUAUAUAUCAUAAUGAAUGUUAACUAGAUCCAUUAUGGUGACAUUUUGCAAUAUAUACAAGUGUAGAGUCAUUACAUUGUACACCAAAAACAUACAACGUUAUAUGUCAAUUAUUCCUCAAUUAAAAAAAAAAGAGUAGAUGAGGGCAUAGCAUGCACAGAGGGGAAAGACCAUGUGAAAACAUCAGGAGGAGAUGGCCAUCUACAAGCCAAGGAGAGAGGCUUUAGAAGGAACUGUCACUGCCAACACCUUGAUCUUAGUCUUCUAUCCUGCAGGACUGUGUCAAAACAAAUAUCUGUUGCUUAAGAAAAAACAAAAACCAGCACAACUACUUUUUCCUUAAGGUAGCUAUCAGACUACUGAAUGAAUUUAAAGCUAUGUCACAGUUUACAUAUUGUUAGUGUUAAUUCCAGCCAUCUAACCAGAAAAUAAUGUAGCCCUUAGUGCUAGUGCAAUUAAAAUUCUGAUCCAGGAGUAGUAUGCCUGUUGAGAGACUGAGAGACAAUAAAUUCAGUUCAGUGACUGUUUUUGCAUGUAAAAUGACCCCUCAGCAUUGACCCUGAAAUGAAAUCAAGUUGAAAAUUGAUUGGAAACAAUCAGUUGGGAUAGUUAUAACCUAUUUAUUCAUGACUUUAUAGUUACUAAGAAAUUAGAGGUUGUUUCUCUCAUCACUAUAUCUCUAAUAUGACAAAUCCCUGUAAAUGUUCUAGGACUAAGUAGGGAAGCACCAAAAUAGGAUGCAGGUGAUGUGGUUCAUCAUGUGUCGGUGUUAGUUUUCUGUGCCUUGCAUCUUAUCCCCAGUCCUCAUCUGCAGAAUAUAAUUAUGCAAAGAAUCUUGGCACAAAAAAUGACUCUGGAGGUUCUGGGAGGACAUUUGGCUCUUUGUAUUGAUUUGAGAUUCCUAGUGAAAUCACCUUACCAACCUGGCCAUGAAAGUCCGUGGGUGAGGGGAUGAUAAGAUGGUGGUCAAAGAGAUGUUGUGAGCAAGAAAGAAAAUAACAGAGGAAUGCUUAGUCUUUGGUUCACUUGCAGCUUGUAAGAAAAGGCAAAACCUGUGACAAAGACGGUUUUAGAAAGAAGCUUAGAUUACUCAUUAGAAACUAAAAUCAGUCAGGUUUCAGAAUGCUAAGGGAACUCAAGUGUUUUGAAAUUGGUAGAUUUGUGGAAAUUUUAUAGUGUUGCAGGUCAGAAUGUCUUACUUGUCUUUGCAUCAGAUACACCUGAAAUGUAGGAAGCAUUCAAUAAAUCUUGUGGAAAGGGAAAGGCAGGGGAGGGGACCAUUUGUUUGUAAGUUUGCAUAAAAAUUCCUCAAACUAGCUAAAAGGGUAUUUAAAAUAAAGAUCAGAUUGGAAGUAAAGUAAAAUCUUUAUUUGUCAUCUUUGGGAUGUAUGUUUAGAAAUGCACCUUUUUUGAGCAAAGGGCAGAAGGGUAUCAGUGAAUGUGUAUGUACUGGAAAUGUCAAAUCUUUGAGAGCAAAUAUAAUUAAUUUGUAGCCAUAAGAGUCUGGUUAAUGUGCUACCAUGAUUUAUAAUAUAAGUGGAAGUCAUCAGUGACUGGCCUGGAAAGUGGUAGUUUAAAAAGGAAGUUUACAAUUCCCAUUGGGUGUUGCUAUAUAAAAUUUUGUCCUUAUCUACAUUCCCACAGAUAGAAAGUAUCUUCACAUUUUUCAGUUGUUAGGUUUUCUGGAAAUGGAACCAAAUCUGGCAACAUAGUAAUACUAUACCAUUUUCAUGAGGCUUACCCAAAGAGUUGGUACAUGUAUAGUUAUGAGUGUUGUUUUGAAAAACUGAAAUCAUUGUUAAUGGGCUGUUAAUAAUUAAACAAUUAUUUUUAAUGAUUGUUAAUUAUUAAAUUCACUGAGUAUAUUGUCGGUUAAUGAAGCUGGUAAAUUCACAGAAAAAUGUUAUGCACUCCUUUUUCUUUUAGGUCUUAAAAACAUGCUUCCUAGAGUACACAUUCCCCUUAAAUAGGCUCCCUAAUUCAUGGGAAUAAAAUGAAAAAACAUUUAAAAAUUCCUCAAAGAACAUUUGUUCUCAAAGAAACUUUGGCAUUUCCAGUCAUAUACGCAUUCACUGAUGUACUUCUGCUCUUUGCUCAGAAAAGAAACAUUUCCAUACAUCUAUUCCACAGAUGACAAAGCCUUUAGGAUAUGAUGAUGCCCAAACAAGAAAAAAUAAAUUACAAGCAGACAAUAAAAGUAUAUUCCUGAUUCUAGCUCUUUUUUGUUUAGAAAAUUGUAUUUACAUUUACUAGAAUCAUAUAAUGACUCAUUUAAUUUACAUGAUUGGCUCCUUACCUCUUUCAAAAUAGAUUUGACUGAAGGAUUUGAUCACUAUGACAGCCAUGAUCCACCUGCAUCUCUGUGGCUACCUGUCAUGCACUGUGUAGACAGAGAUGACAUGCCAUAUGGUGAUAGUUUAUUAGAUAUUAGAUGGCUAGUUUGAGGAGAAAUUUAUGGUCUCAGAGUUCCUUUUGGCCUAACUGUUAAGGGUCAGGAGUUGUCACUGCUGUGGCUUGGGUCACUGCUGUGGCAAUGGGUUUAGUCCUUAGCCCAGGAACUUUUGCUUGCCAUGCAAAAAAAUGUAUAAUCCCACUGUUAUGAAGCUAUAGGAAUGAAAUGAGGCAGAGGAAUGUUACAUGAACCAUUAAUUUAUUUGCUAAUGUUAUCUCCAUAUUUGAGCAUAAUCCCCGACAUAGUUGAAAUAAAGGACAAUUUAAUAAGAAACGUAUAAAUGAAAAAAGGAUGGAAGAGGUUUAGCUGACAUUAGACUUUCAGAUGAGAAUGCAAGAUGUAGUCUUCAUGGAAUUUGAAAUUUUGUAAGAAACAGGUAAGUGAAAGACAUCCUGAUUCCAGCUGUUGAUUUGAGUUUGGUAAAGGGCAGUACUUAUAAGUUCAGGGAGGCUAACAAGCCUCACUCCAGAUGAUUUGUUCAUCAUUCAUUUCAUGACUCCAAAACCAAAGGCGAUGAGGUCUGGGAUGGGGAGAAGGAUAUUGGCAACAUCAAGGUAGAGUUCCAAGUUUUUAAAAACCCAAUUAUUUUAUCAUUUUUAAGUGUAUACUUUUAAAACCCAGGUAUUGUAACAAUAUAUAGUAACAUGAAGAAAAGUGUACAUCUCAUAAACAAACAGUUCCAUGAGUGUUCACUAACUGACCAUGUAGGAAGAACUACCUCAGUAGAGUGUUAGCUCGAUGCUGCCCAGAACCGCGUAGGGAUAUGGCAGUGAGUCCGCUCCUGCACGGACCUUCUCUGCACCCCCUCACCCCAAAUCCCCCAUUGGUCUGCUAAACUGAUAUACCCAUUUCAGUAUAAACAUGUCACAUUUCCAGCAUCCUUCUCACUGUAUUGGGUUAUUUGCGUUUGAGCGUCAAUAUUUGUCCCUAUUGAUUAAAGUUUGUACCCAGAAAGAGAAAGAAAGCAUUACUACCAAGCACUCCAAGAAAUCCUUUUUGUGCACCAUUCUAGUCAUUAUUUAUCCCUCUCCAUCAAGGAAGCCACUGUCAUAGUUUCUAACAUCCUAAAGCAGUUUUGCCUGUAUUUAUACAUUAUAAGAAUGAAAUCAUACAAUAUGCGCUCUUUUGUGUCUGCCUUUAUCUAUUUAUUUUUUGCUUAUUAUAUCUGGGGGAAUUUAUUCAUGUUAUAUCCCACAGUUCAUUUUUAUUUCUGUAUAGUAACCCAUUAUUUUUAUAUAAUACAUUUUAUAGAUCCAUUCUCUUUGGCUUAUUUCUAGCUUUUGUCAAUUACAAAUAGCAUUGCUGUAAACAUUAUUGUGGUCCUUUGGUGCACAUUUCUGUUGGGUGUGUAGCUAGGAGUGGAAUUAUUGGAUCAUAGUCUGUAUUUAUUUAUUUUUCUAGAUGCUGUCAAAUAUCUUUCCAAGGGGUUUAUAGGUCACCAAUUGUUGAAAAGGAAUCUUCUUCAGCUUAUAGUUUAGGCAAGUGGAGACCCAGAUGAAGGCUGCACACUAAGAUUUGUUAAAUGUCUUUAGGGUCCUUAGGAAUUCAUGUGUCAAAGCCCAUUAUCAGAUGGGGAAGUACUGUGAGGAGGUACAGCUCAACUGAGAAAUGCUGUGAAACUCUGACAAAUAAUAUGAGGAAACAGCAUCCUGAAUCUCAGAUGAGUGAUAAUGGCACAAGCUGCAGAGGGAAUUGCCUGUGGUCAGCAUCUUGGCCUAAUUAGGUAUGUGGUAUAUUAAGUGACUCUAGCUAUUGUGCAGACUUGGGCCCACACCUUAAAUGGGGACCUCAGAGAGUUAAUUUCCUAUCCAUCCCUGCAUGGCUUUUUGUGACUGAGGGCAACUCACUAACCAUCACCUUAAAUGCACCAGGUCCUUUCACAUCUGUGAGUCCAAAUACCCCCAUUCUCUGAGAAAGAAGCAGGUUUCUCUCCAUCUCAGUCUAAGACUUUGUUCCUCAUAUCCUUCCCACCAUAUUGAUUGAGAACAUCCAUUCCCUUUUAGUCAAAAAACCCACUUGGUAGUUUGGCCUGGUUAGUUUAUAGACUAAGAAAUUAUACAGUUUUUCUUAAAAUGUGAGUUGUUUAAUCUCAUCCAUGUUAUAGUCUGAAAAUGUUUCAAUGAGUUUAAUUUUGAAAUCCAUAGACAAGGGAAACAGAAACCUUAUACUUUGAUGUUUUACUCCAUACAAAGUUUUGUCAAUUUCAGGGUGAGUAAACUGAGUCUGAGAUAGUCAGGUGAUGAGAGGUCCACACCUUCUUCAAAUUAAGGAAGGAUGCACUCUUCAUGGAGAGCAGCAGGUUGAUGGUGUAUACUGUAUUCCUGCAGGCUCCCUCUUGUCUCUCUGCUCUGUCCUUGGCAUAAGAGGAAAGGCCAGUAUACUCCAUGUCCCACAUAUAUGGCUCUUUCCCACAACAGGAUUUGUAUAAAAAAUUUUUCCCUCAUCAGGAGGAAAGUUGGGGUGCAAAUGUCAUCUCAUUUAGUCUUGUGUCAAACUGAGUAUCCCCCUAGUGGGAAAGUGGCAUUUAAGAAAUGAAGGAGGAGUUCCUGCCAUGGCGCAGCAGAAAUAAAUCUGACUAGGAACCAUGGGGUUGCAGAUUUGAUCCCUGGCCUCACUCAGUGGGUUAAGGAUCCAGCGUUGCUGCAAGCUGUGGUGUAGAUCGAAGACGCAGCUUGGAUCCUGUGUUGCUGUGGCUCUGGCAUAGGCCGAUGGCUAUAGCUCUGAUUCAACCCCUAGCCUGGGAGCCUCCAUAUGCCGCAGGUAUAGCCCUAAAAAGACAAAAAAAAAAAAAAAAAGGAAAGAAAGAAAGAAAUGAAGGAAAUGGUAGUUGGGAGAUUCAAAUGACUCAUUUGAACAGUCUAACCAAUGAUUAAUAUAUAGGCUUUGGCAUCAGGAAGCCCUUGGUUUUAAUUAGUGUUAAUCCUGGCUCUACCAGUUACUACUUGAAUAAAUUGAGUAAUUUGUUUAACUAGAUGAGUAACUAUAGUAACAUGUUUAACUAGUUGAGUAACCAUGUAUUUGCCCUCUGAAUUUCCUUUCCUUGCCUGAGAGAAGUCAGCAUAAUGUGCAUCAAGUAAUUAUGCUAAAUAGUACAUCCAAAUGGGUGAUGGAGUGGUCUGCCCUAGAUGCACUUGUAGGAGGUGCACAGCCUGAGGAGUGUUAAAAAAAAAUAAUAAUAUGUACUGAAGGUUGGAUUAUAACUUAUUACC